rnacentral:lncRNA from 1 species
GAGUAAACCCAUGUUGUCUCUGAUCUUGAAAUCCAUGUGUUUUUAGAUGUUCAACAAUCCUAUCCUUUAACAUGGUUUCCAUCACUUUCCCCACUACUGAAGUAAGGCUUACUGGCCUAUAGUUGCCCGACUCCUCCCUAUUACCUUUCUUGUAAAUGGGCACAACAUUCGCUAACUUCCAAUCUUCUGGGACUACUCCUGUUAACAAUGAUUGGUUAAAUAAAUCUGUUAAUGGUUUUGCUAGUACACCACUAAACUCUUAAUAGCUUUGGGUGUAUUCCAUCAGGUACCAUUGGCUUAUUUGUCUUUACUUUUGACAGUUGAAAU